CCUACGGGUGGCAGCAGUGGGGAAUAUUGGGCAAUGGGCGCAAGCCUGACCCAGCAACGCCGCGUGAAGGAAGAAGGCUUUCGGGUUGUAAACUUCUUUUGACAGGGAAGAGUAGAAGAGGGUAUCUGUCGAAUUAGCCAUGGCUAACUACGUGCCAGCAGCCGCGGCAAUACGUAGGUGGCAAGCGUUGUCCGGAUUUACUGGGUGUAAAGGGCGUGUAGGCGGGUUGGCAAGUCAGAUGUGAAAGCCUGCGGCUUAACCGCAGAACUGCAUUUGAAACUGUUGAUCUUGAGUACUGGAGAGGCAGACGGAAUUCCUGGUGUAGCGGUGAAAUGCGUAGAUAUUAGGAGGAACACCAGUGGCGAAGGCGGUCUGCUGGACAGCAACUGACGGUGAGGCGCGAAAGCGUGGGGAGCAAACAGGAUUAGAUACCCCAGUAGUC
rnacentral:rRNA from 1 species